GACUGGAACCGGCACUUGGCACCCCUUACGCCUUACGGUGGCCGCUGCGCCCAGUCACAUCUGUUGCAUUUCUCUGGAAUGACCACAGCAAUAUUUCCAGCCCUUGAUGAUCUUCUAGAACUUUGCCACUUCCCUGCAUCAAGAGGGCCAUGGAGAAGAGGAGACAGAGUGUGCAAGGGAAUGAAGAAAAGGAACAAGACUAUUUUCAAAUCACCCAUGGCACUACUAGAAAUGUAUUUCAGCAAAAGGACUGGCUGAUUUUAUGAUUCCUGUGUCCACCACAGCCCUCUAAUUUUUACAUAGGUACCCCACAUCUCUCUAGAUUUCAGGAAGACUAUUAUCCUUCGACUUUAGCUUUCUGAUGGGUUCACAAAAAGCCAUUAGUGUGCUGUUGGUCCAGCUUUUUUCUGUUGCAAAUAUGAGAGCUACAGUUCUGAGAUGAAACCACAGGUAUUAAAAGGAAUCCAAUUGAACCAAGAAAGAACA
rnacentral:lncRNA from 10 species